rnacentral:rRNA from 1 species
CGUGCCAGCAGUCGCGGUAAUACGUAGAAGACUAGUGUUAUUCAUGUUUAAUCGGUUUAAAGGGUACCUAGACGGUAGAUCAAGCUUUCUAAUAAAGGAAAAGGACUAGUUUACUAGAGUUACUUAUGAGGGGGUAUUAAAGUACUGCUGGUGUAGAGAUGAAAUUCUGUCAUACCUCUUUUCAAAAGAAAAACCAUGGCACAGGUAUAGGCGAAGGCAUCCCCUUAUGUGAUAACUGACGUUGAGGGACGAAGGCUUUGUGUAGCGAACAGGAUUAGAUACCCCAGUAGUCGAAGCAGAAAAUGAUGAAUGUCAUAGAUUAGAUAUAUAAGUUUAUUCUAUAAAUGAAAGUGUAAGCAUUCCACCUCAUGAGUAAUUUGGCAACAUUGGAACUGAAAUCAUUAGACCGUUUCUGAAACCAGUAGUGAAGUAUGUUGUUUAAUUUGAUGUCCCGCAAAAAACCUUACCACAAUUUGAAUAUUUAUAUUGUUUAUUGUUUUAUUCUUAAUUUUCUUGAAGAAAAUUAAGAAAAAAGCAAUAAGAUAUAAUUACAAGCGUUGCACGGCUGUCUUCAGUUAAUGUCGCGAGACUUUGGUUAGUUCCAUUAAAUUAACGUAAACCCUUACUUUAUUUUUAUAUAGAGUAGUUCCCCGCUAUAUUGGAUA